ensembl:lncRNA
GUUGUCCCCACAACAGCAACUUAAACUCCCCAGUUUUGUUCCUUUCAGGAACAACUGUAGCAGACCAGUUUGCCUUCCUGGGCACGAUCUCUCUGAAGCUCAAUCUGGGAUAUCCAGAUGGAGACAUCCAGUCUUGCCAACCUUGCUGCCACCUCGCCCAAGAUAUUCUCUUCCCACUGUAUCAAACAUUUCCUCUUGCCUCCUGUCACCUCCCUCCCCUCCAACUCUUCCUCUGCCCAGCAUUUGCCUGGCUGUCGGAACUUGUUUCCUGUCAGUCGCAUCUCCCUAAGCCUAGAUACACCCCAGUGCAGUAUUCCUGACAGAACAAUGUGAUGUGGUGAUGCAAGAGCCCGAGGUGUCAAAUUGGGCUACUAAAGCAGGGGAAGGUUAGAAUUUCUUCUGUCUGGAAGGACAAACACGCGCACAAAGAGAAAAGCUAAACAAGGAAGCCAAUUUCCCAUCCCUUGUCUUUCCCUUGCCUCUCGGUCCUGAUCCCAAAGCCCCGUACCGUACCUACAACAGAUCUUCUCUGGACUAAGAACCCACUUGACUUAGAAGGAGCAGCUAGUUUGAGCACUAAAGAACAGGACAUUUUCAAGGUUUCAACACACUCCUUGUUUUGUCUUUCUUGUUUGUUUUUACAUCAGCCCCACCCUAAGCUCCUGCUGGUGCAAUGGCUUCAGCUAGUGGCUCAAUGCCAUGGAAGGGACAUUGCUCAGAAGGGGCUGUGGGUGCUCAGGGCAAUCUCCUCCCAGGAAACCAAGCCCCCUGAUCACCUUCCCCUGGCUCUUACUUGUUCAUUUAUUUGACACUCAACACUUGUUAAGAUCCUGCUAUAUCUUAGAGAUUUUGCUUGGAGCAGGGAAUGGGAGUGGAGAGAAUGCAGAGAUCAACAUGGAAUGGCUCUGUCAUCCAGGAGAUCACCGUCUAGUGAGAAAGUUGGAUAUAUAGGCCAAUAUCAUGGUCUACUGUGAUGAUGGGGCUCUAACUGAGGUCUGAAUGCAGUUCUAGAGGCCUCAGAAGAGAGUGUGACCAACCCCUCUAGGGAUCUAGGAGCAGUGACUGAGGAGGUGAUAUUCGAAUGACAGCCUGAAGGAUGAGUAAGCUUUUUCCAAACAGGCAGGAGAAGCAGGGCACUGUAGGCAGAGGAACAGCAUAUUCAAAGGUGGGAGGGGUAAAAGAACAUAUUGUUUUCCGAGAAUAUGGAGUUCACGGAGACUAAAAUCCCGUCUAUGCUGGGGGUAGGUGGAAAUGGAGGAGAUCUCUCUGAAUAAGUUGAUUGGGGCAAGACUGGAGGUGUUCUUAACAAGAUGCCAAGCAGUGUGGCCUGUCGUGUGGGCACCACAGUACCAAUAAGAUGUUUGGGCAGAGUAGAAAUGUGAGUAGAUCUCUGUGGCAGCGGCAGGAACUCUCUUCCCCAAUCACCUUCCUGCUGGUGACCCACACUCUCUGGUUUCAUCUCAUUAACCUUCAGUCCUACUCUCCUCACCAGUAAAAAAGGGCAGCUUUCAGCGCCAACCUCUUUCCAGAAAGAGUUUCCCCUCAGAUGACUGACUCCAGGGAGCUGGGGCUCUUCCACCCACGGCUCGGACGUCCGGACGUCCAUAUGAGGUGGGACAGUGAGUGGUGAGGCAAAGAGCUUUGGCUUCCGAUAAUCCUGGUUUUGAAAGUUGGCCCUCUGCCUUUUAUGAGCUUUAUUAUCUUGAGCAAGUUACUUCUCUCUUCUAAAGCUUCAGUUUAUUCUUUGAAAAAUGGGCUUGAAGGAUACUAAUGCCUUCCUCAUUGCAUGUCCUCCAGGAGGCUUGAUUUGUAGCACCUGGAAAUGCUUUAUCAGUUGGGCGUGCGAUAGGCCUGUCCAAUUGGUGUUUCUCAGCCCUGUUACUUAACACACCCACAUGACUUUGACAGUGCUGCCCAAAGGCCCAGGCAAGAGGGCCCUGGCUUUCCUUUUGAGGACAGGUACCACCGCAUAACCCAAACACAAAAACAAAUAAAUCUGAAGAAGAAGACAUGGGCACUUCUGUCAUUCCAGAUCCAGUACUCAGAGCUGGCACAGCAAGACUCUUCACCAAAAACACCCCUUCUUGUUACAAACACCAUUAGGCCCCCACAUCUUCAGAUCUUUUGCCCGAUGUCCUUGAACAUAAGACAACUCUGUCUGGAUGCUGUGAAAGUUUACACGUUGUGCCAUUACCGGCUUUGCAGAAGAAUACUGCUUUGGAGAACAGAGAGGAUUUGAAUGGUUAAACACUUAGGUCUUUGCGUUUCACGGAUGAGGAAGCAGCAGGAUCUAGGAGAAAGCAAUGAACUGGGAAUCAGGAAACCUGUGCCACCACUGACGUGCUGUGUGCUCUCCGAGCACUUAACUUUUCUGAGUCUCAGUUUCCUCACAAGGAUGACCAUGGGAGCCCAGGCUUGAUUGGAGGAUCCGAUGAGAUCAUGGAUGUGAAGCACUUUGUAACAUUAGACAAAUAGGAGGUGCUAAUAUGAUGAUGCCUGCUUUAAGUGCUUUUUCUGAAGCGAAUCAAGGUCAUUAUUCUCUGUUUCGAGAUGCUGAAAUCAAGGCAGAGAGAUGUGAAGGGACAUGGAUCCCGCUUCAUAGUGCCUGGACCAAGAGGUCUCCCUACAUUGGGAGGACUUCAGUGGCUGCCCAUGGCCUGGUACUUCCUCUCCUUCUGAGAAUGGCACCAUUACAUAACUGUCUGGGGCGGUGCCCCAGACCACAGAGAUUUUCCUUCUGCCCAGCUGCAUGAGGUACACCUAUUUUGGGAUGGAAUCAGGAAGAUGGCCACUUUCACACCAACUGGGGUGCCCUAGCACCUACCUCUCUUCUUCCCACACUCCCACUGCCCACCCUCCACUCCCCACCCCCUGCUGUUGGUAUGGGCUCUGCUCUAGGGCAAAGGGCUCAUCCUCUUAUGCUCCCUCA